GUCCUCUUGAUUUAAAUUUGAGGUUUAACCUGCCCACUGAAAUAUUUAAAUGGCCGCAGUAAUUUGACUGUGCAAAGGUAGCAUAAUCAUUAGUUUUCUAAUUAAAAGCUUGUAUGAAGGGUUGGACGAGGUAAAAUCUGUCUCUAUUUAAUUUAUAAUAAAAUUUAAUUUUUAAGUUAAAAAGCUUAAAUAUUAUUAAAAGACGAGAAGACCCUAUAGAUCUUUAUAUUAUUUAAAUUAAUUUUAAUAUAGAAUUUUUAAUUUUUUAUUUUAAAUAAUAUUUUAUUGGGGUAAUAAAAAGAUUUAAUAAAUUCUUUUUAAAUUAUACAUUGAUUUAUGAUUAAUUGAUCCAAUUUUUUUGAUUAAAAGAUUAAGUUACCUUAGGGAUAACAGCGUAAUUUUUUUAAAGAGUUCAUAUCGAUAAAAAAGUUUGCGA
rnacentral:rRNA from 1 species